AGCCGCGGUAGUACGGAGGGGGCUAGCGUUGUUCGGAAAUACUGGGCGUAAAGCGCACGUAGGCGGUUUCGUAAGUCGAGUGUAAAAACUUCAGGCUCAACCUGGAGAGGCCACCCGAUACUGCGAUGACUAGAGUCCGGUAGGGGAGCAUGGAAUUCCUGGUGUAGCGGUGAAAUGCGCAGAUAUCAGGAGGAACACCAACGGCGAAGGCAGUGCUCUGGGCCGGAACUGACGCUGAGGAGCGAAAGCGUGGGUAGCGAAC
rnacentral:rRNA from 1 species